AUCCACUGGUGGUGGUGUUUGCUGUUAGAAGAAUGUCUGGUGGGCUGGAGAGACGACUCCGUGGUUAAGAGCACUGACUGCUCUUCAGAGGUUCUGAGUUCCAUUUUGCAGCAACCACAUGGUGGCUCACAACCAUCUGUAAUGGGAUCUGACGCCCUCUUCUGGUGUGUCUGAAGACAGUGACAGUGUACUCACAUAUGUAAAAUAAAUACAUCUUGAAAAGAAGGACUAUUUGACAAUGUUAUAAUCUGACUAUGAAAUGUUCCCCGAAGGCUCCUUGUUGAACACUUGAUCCCCUGGUAGGGGCACUAUGUGGGGGAAGUCAUGGAAUCUACUAAGUGGAGCCCUUGUGGAAGAAGUAGGCCAGUUGGGGUUUUGUCUCUGAAGGAUGCUCCAGGUCCCCAGACCCUAUCCCUAUGCUUCCUGCCAACCAUGACGUGACGAGAUCUUCCUCCAUACACUCUGC
rnacentral:lncRNA from 1 species